UACGUAGGGUGCGAGCGUUGUCCGGAAUUAUUGGGCGUAAAGGGUGCGUAGGCGGUUGCAUGCGUCGGCGCUGAAAUCCGUGGGCUCAACCCACGGGCGCGUGCCGAUACGAUGCGACUUGAGGCUCGGAGAGGGUGGGAGAACUCCUGGUGUAGUGGUGAAAUGCGUAGAGAUCAGGAAGAACACCGGUGGCGAAAGCGUUCUGCUAGGCCUGUACUGACACUGAGGGACGAAAGCUAGGGGAGCGAAUGGG
rnacentral:rRNA from 1 species